GACGAACGCUGGCGGCGUGCUUAACACAUGCGAGUCGAACGGAAAGGCCCUGCUUUUGUGGGGUGCUCGAGUGGCGAACGGGUGAGUAACACGUGAGUAGCCUGCCCUUGACUUUGGGAUAACUUCAGGAAACUGGGGCUAAUACCGGAUAGGAGCUCCUGCUGCAUGGUGGGGGUUGGAAAGUUUCGGCGGUUGGGGAUGGACUCGCGGCUUAUCAGCUUGUUGGUGGGGUAGUGGCUUACCAAGGCUUUGACGGGUAGCCGGCCUGAGAGGGUGACCGGCCACAUUGGGACUGAGAUACGGCCCAGACUCCUACGGGAGGCAGCAGUGGGGAAUAUUGCACAAUGGGCGGAAGCCUGAUGCAGCAACGCCGCGUGCGGGAUGACGGCCUUCGGGUUGUAAACCGCUUUCGCCUGUGACGAAGCGUGAGUGACGGUAAUGGGUAAAGAAGCACCGGCUAACUACGUG
rnacentral:rRNA from 1 species